CAAGAGCCCGGAGAUGGAUUCUGAGACACGAAUCCAGGCCCUACGGGGCGCAGCAGGCGCGAAAACUUUACCAUGCGGGCAACCGUGAUAAGGAAACCCCGAGUGCCAGCACAGGCUGGCUGUCCGCCAGUGUAAAUAACUGGUGAAGAAAGGGCCGGGCAAGACCGGUGCCAGCCGCCGCGGUAAUACCGGCGGCUCGAGUGGUGGCCACUAUUACUGGGCUUAAAGGAUCCGUAGCUGGAUAUACAAGUCUCUUGAGAAAUCCGCCGGCUUAACCGGUGGGCGUUCAGGGGAAACUGUAUUUCUAGGGACCGGGAGAGGUGAGAGGUACUGCCGGGGUAGGUGUGAAAUCCUGUAAUCCCGGUGGGACCACCUAUGGCGAAGGCAUCUCACCAGAACGGGUCCGACAGUGAGGGACGAAAGCUGGGGGAGCAAACCGGAUUAGAUACCCGGGUAGUCCCAGCUGUAAACGAUGCGCGUUAGGUGUGUCAGUGACCACGUGUCACUGAGGUGCCGAAGGGAAACCGUGAAACGCGCCGCCUGGGGAGUACGGUCGCAAGGCUGAAACU
rnacentral:rRNA from 1 species